UCCCUCAGAUCUGGAUCACAGUUUCUACAUCCGCCGCCGCCCACGCUCGGGCUCUCUCCACCGCUGCACACGCUCGGGCUCUCUCUCCGCCGCACCUCCCGCCCACCGGCCUGUCCACCCCGACCCCACUCCACACAGCCACCGGUGGAACGCUACUCCAUACCGCCGCCGCCUCCACCGGCAGGAGCUUUCUCCGCCGCCCCCUCCGUCUGCAGAUAGUCUCGCAAUCGCCGUCCAAACCCUACCGGCGGCUGCCCUUUUCGUCCGCGCCCAAUCUCAUCUAUCUCCUGGAGGUGCCACCGGCAUGAAGUUCCUGGCAAAAGAAGGCGGCCAAACCUACUAACCAGGAAUACCACUAACCAGCGGGAUCCGAACGAUGUGUGGAUUUCCAAAAAGAGGUCUGACCUAUAGAAGUCUCCGCGGUAAAUAAAGUCUGCCACCUACCUCGCAGCCUGCUCCUUUCGUAGGUACCUCCGCUGCUCUACGACCACGGGAAGCUCCAUGCCUCGGUGAGGUCGGUCCAUCUUUUUUAGGACUAGAUUCUCUCUUACCUAUGCCUACAAGGUGUUUGAUGAAAAUCCAAGCAAGCUGCAAGGAAUAUUCAUCUACGAAAGACAAGAGGACGAGGAACCAUGAAGCCAACAGUUCGGGAUAUUUUGUUUAAUGGUGACUGAAUCAUUGGAGAUGCAUUUUAGCUAUCAUUUUGUAAACCCGCAUGGUUUUUGAGACAAUGAACCAUAUGUUUCCUCUGUAAUUAGUUAGAUUAGUUUAUGGGAAAUUUGGAUGGUCAUUAUGUUAAUAAUGAAUGAACUAUUUAUAUGUGGAAUUAAUUAAUAUGUGUUUUUAUUGUC